rnacentral:lncRNA from 1 species
AACCAUGACAAGCAGGAGUGAGGCCCCAUGGAGGGGGCCCUGCCCUGCCACUCAGGGAGUGCACCCCAGGCCCCCGGCGCUCAGCCUGUUCGACCUCAGCCUCUACACACAACAGACCAGGACAGGGGCCCCGCUCAGAGGUGGGAGCAGUGCUCUGAUCUGCCUGGCAGAGGGCGGAGACGGCGGCUGGAGGGCUCUCAGAGCCCAGCCAGGGCCUGGCCUGUGAGAAGCUCAGAGAGAGGGCAGCGUGAGCGGAUGUGGUGGACAUCUGGGAGCACCCACAGUCCUGCAGCUUGGACCCGCCUGAGAUGAGACACCAGGGCUCAGGACUCAGCCUCCAGUCACAGUCCGCGUUCAGUAUGUGACCUUGGAUCAUGGCUUAGACUUUGCCUAGGAUGAGGCUUGCAUUAUGACCUGGGUGAGGACUCAGUGUAUGGCUAUUAGAGGAAAGGAGCUGCCUAGGCCGCUGAACAGAGCUGUCAUCCCCUGGGUCCCUUCGCUCCACGCUUUCACUAAGGACCCGAUCAAGACCAUCAACGGAUGCACAGAAGCUUCUGGAUCUGCUCAGGCCCCUCU